rnacentral:rRNA from 1 species
AUUGAACGCUGGCGGCAUGCCUAACACAUGCAAGUCGAACGGUAACAGGCCCUUCGGGUGGCUGACGAGUGGCGGAUGGGUGAGUAAUACUUAGGAAUCUACCCUGUAGUGGGGGACAACCCGGGGAAACUCGGGCUAAUACCGCAUACGCUCUACGGAGGAAAGCGGGGGACCGGCAAGGCCUCGCGCUAUUGGAUGAGCCUAAGCCCGAUUAGCUAGUUGGUGGGGGUAAUAGCCUACCAAAGGGCAAUGAUCGGUAGCUGGUCUGAGAGGACGACCAGCCACACUGGGACUGAGACACGGCCCAGACUCCUACGGGAGGCAGCAGUGGGGAAUAUUGGAC